CUCUGGGAAAUGGGACAG
rnacentral:miRNA from 1 species